UAAACUACACUUGAUGGGCCUUCACGGAAUAUGUGCUAGUAUGCCACUCUUCCAUUCAUAGCUUGAUCCAAGUCUUCUUGUCCUAGACGCUCCAAGCUUGGCUUUUUUGUCCUAGACGCUCCUAGCUUGGUCUUAGACGCUCUUGACUUGGCUCUUGCCUUUCAUGGAAGGUUGUGCUUGGCCCUCUUCCAUCAUCCCCUCCCUCUUGAAAAGGAUUUGUCCUCAAAUCCAAAGCUUUUGAGAAAAUCUAUCCUCAGAUUUGCAAACUUGACCUCGGAUAGCAACCUCUUGCUUCGUCAAGGUGUGUCCUCCCGGAUCAAAUGUCAAUCUAUGGGAAUCUUGAAACAAAGCAAAGGAGUUAGUGUGAGCAUUUGGAGAAAGUUUAAUUGUGCGAAGUUGCCAUUUUUGUGUUUCUUUUGUUUUCGGCAACUUCUCACAAUAUUUCCCUUUUGAUGGUUGUAUGUGUCCUCUAAUCCUCUUAUGUUUUCUAAAAUUUCCAAUAGUAGUUACUUGUCCCUUAGGCAUAAUUCCUUUAGGAGGUGGUAACAACUUUAAAAGGGCAAGAGGACUAUGUUCACAUACAACUUCAAAUGUAGAAAUAUGAUUAAUCUUGUG
rnacentral:lncRNA from 1 species